ensembl:miRNA
GGGCUUUCAAGUCACUAGUGGUUCCGUUUAGUAGAUGAUUUGCACAUUGUUUCAAAAUGGUGCCCUAGUGACUACAAAGCCC